UGGGGAAUCUUGGACAAUGGGCGCAAGCCUGAUCCAGCCAUGCCGCGUGAGUGAAGAAGGCCUUCGGGUUGUAAAGCUCUUUUACCAGGGACGAUAAUGACGGUACCUGGAGAAUAAGCCCCGGCAAACUUCGUGCCAGCAGCCGCGGUAAUACGAAGGGGGCUAGCGUUGUUCGGAAUUACUGGGCGUAAAGCGCACGUAGGCGGAUUGUUAAGUCAGAGGUGAAAUCCCGGAGCUCAACUUCGGAACUGCCUUUGAUACUGGCAAUCUAGAGUCCGGAAGAGGUUAGUGGAAUUCCCAGUGUAGAGGUGAAAUUCGUAGAUAUUGGGAAGAACACCAGUGGCGAAGGCGGCUAACUGGUCCGGUACUGACGCUGAGGUGCGAAAGCGUGGGGAGCAAACAGGAUUAGAUACCCAUGUAGUCCCUGAGCGGGCUGGCAAGGCGCAU
rnacentral:rRNA from 1 species